CUCUGUUCUGAAAAACAAACCCCAGAAUGAAUAAGUCAUGGAGAUCCUUUUCCUCUCUGACAGUCUAACUCCCCAGGUGCUGAAAGAUGGCCCAGAGAAGAGUGACAUCUAUUGUUCAGGAAGGUUUAUGGGUGGGAUCCACCAGUCCUGCUGAGUAGACUGUGCAUUCGGUCCAUGAGCAAAAGGUGACCUCUCUCCCCAGAGGAGCAAACCAGGGCCACCCGAGAAGGGGCAAAUGGAAACUAACAUCCAUUUCAUAAGGAUUAUCCAGGAAAUGCGGGCAGAGAUCAACAAGCUGAAGAAAGAGAAUCAAGUCCUCCAGAUGAAGCUGGCCUCAAGUAGUCAGAGAACCCCAGGCCCCAGCGGAGAAUCGGAAGAUGAAAGGGAAGAGGAAGUCACAGACCUUGGUAACCUCGAAAAAGCAUCUGAAAAAUCUCCAGCAACCCUUCACAGUGGUGUUUCCGUCGAUGCAGCACCAGCUGUGCUUGAACAUCAAGGCAAUGUCAUGAUUGUUAGACGCUAUUCCAUCUCCUCACCAAUUCAUUCAUUUGCUGCAAAUGAUCCCUGGAAACCUGAGGAAAGACACCCAAAGAGUGGAAUUCUAGGAGCUCAGGGAAGAAUUAAAUCUCUGGCAUGUUCUUCAAUUAAGAAGCAAGACAAUGAAGAAAAUCUGUUUGCAGCAGAUUCUUUAACCAGCACUAGUUCCAACCAAAGAACUUCUCCUGAUCAUGUUUUUGAUAAUGUAACCAGGGACAAGAUAAAGACAGUCAGUUUCCAGUUACCCAUGGACUUGUCUUCAUAUUCCAAAAAUUCAAGUUCUUUGAAGUGUUCACCAAAUCGGACCACAAACGAGCUAAGUACCAUUGCAGAAUAGGCUGCGUGGGGUGAUGAAAUUUAAGAAACAGCUGAUUCCCAAAAAUGAGAACACUUAGGCCCCUCUGGGUCAGUGUCCUCCUCUACAAAGAGCUCUGGAAAGAUUCCCAGUAAGACACACAAAAUGCUUGGCAUCAGGUCAGUGGACUUGUGAAUGGACUUGGCCAAGAAAUGGAAGUAAUUUCUUUAUGUCAUUGUCG
rnacentral:lncRNA from 1 species